UACGUAGGGUGCGAGCGUUGUCCGGAAUUAUUGGGCGUAAAGAGCUUGUAGGCGGUCUGUCGCGUCUGCUGUGAAAACCCGCGGCUUAACUGCGGGCUUGCAGUUGAUACGGGCAGGCUAGAGUUCGGUAGGGGAGACUGGAAUUCCUGGUGUAGCGGUGAAAUGCGCAGAUAUCAGGAGGAACACCGGUGGCGAAGGCGGGUCUCUGGGCCGAUACUGACGCUGAGGAGCGAAAGCGUGGGGAGCGAACAGG
rnacentral:rRNA from 1 species